rnacentral:rRNA from 1 species
GAUGAACGCUGGCGGCGUGCCUAAUACAUGCAAGUCGAGCGAACAGACGAGGAGCUUGCUCCUCUGACGUUAGCGGCGGACGGGUGAGUAACACGUGGAUAACCUACCUAUAAGACUGGGAUAACUUCGGGAAACCGGAGCUAAUACCGGAUAAUAUAUUGAACCGCAUGGUUCAAUAGUGAAAGACGGUUUUGCUGUCACUUAUAGAUGGAUCCGCGCCGCAUUAGCUAGUUGGUAAGGUAACGGCUUACCAAGGCAACGAUGCGUAGCCGACCUGAGAGGGUGAUCGGCCACACUGGAACUGAGACACGGUCCAGCCUCCUACGGGAGGCAGCAGUAGGGAAUCUUCCGCAAUGGGCGAAAGCGUGACGGAGCAACGGCGCGUGAGUGAUGAAGGUCUUCGGAUCGUAAAACUCUGUUAUUAGGGAAGAACAAAUGUGUAAGUAACUAUGCACGUCUUGACGGUACCUACUCAGAAAGCAACGGCUAACUACGU